UCUUCUGGCUCGACCAAGGACGGCAUGACAGACGAAUGACAGUGAAACUACACUGAAUAACCACCAGGGGGUGACGGUGUCGUACCUGCGUCACUCAGCCAUUUCUCCAGCAGAGGCUUGAGCUUGCACAUGUUCUUGAAGCUGAGGUUGAGAGCCUCAAAGCGAGAGAUGGUCGUCUGGCUGAAGUCGUUCCCGUACAGUUUCCCCAUGGCAAGGCCCACGUCUCCCUGUGGUGAGUAACACGGACAGAUGUUUCUACAACUGUGACAGGUGAGUGUUUUACACAUGAGUGACCUCUGACCCCUCCUCCGUUUACCUGAGUGAAGCCCAGUUUGAUGCGUCUCUGUUUGAACGCUUUAGCGAACUGUUCCAGCUCCUCCAGGUCGCUGGGCUCCUCCUGUGACGGCACUGACAUGUGUUUGGGCAUCUGCAGGUGAGACAUGUCCAUGUGCGUCUCCAUGGACGGUCCUGCCAGACCUGAGCGGCUCAUGGCCUGGAUCAGAACAAACAGCUCUUAAAUCAACUGAGGUCACUUUACACACAGCACAGGAGAGGAAGUGGUUGAAUGGUUUUACCUGUGGAGUCAGAGCCAGGCCAGGCUGAUGCUGGAGAAGACCACUUGGACUGUGGGUGGGGAGAGAGAGAAGGUUCUGCUGCAGGACAGCUGCAAACAAACACACUUAUCAACUCUCUGUUUGCUGAAUAAACCCACCUACCUACCUACCAAACCCUGCUAUCAAAAGCAAAUGAAAAGGGAUUAAAAGAAAGAAAAUAGUAUAAUUCAGUAUAAUAUAAUAAGAGUACUAUAAUAAUAAGUAAUAGUAAAGUCAUCUUGAACACGUUCAUGUUUACAUUACUGCAUCAUCAUGGUUCACCCUGUAUUUGCUGAUCUAUAAUCAUUCAUUUAUUAUAACUGACAUAGCAUUCAUUUUUCCAUAUAAGACCCUAUAAGAAUCUAAGAUGCCACAUGUGUUGUCCGUUUAUAAAUAAGAAACAACAAUGGAAAGAUAAUAUGGUUUGAAAUGUGUCACAUUUUGUGUUUAAUGUGCUUUUUCAGUGUGCACCUUGGUGUCCGGUGGGACUCUGUGAGAGCAGGAACGAGGAGGGAGACGGCAGGUGAGACGGUGGCAUCAGAACCAGCUGCUGCAUCGUGUGGAGCGAGGUCAGCUCCUGCAGAGACAGAGACAAACAAAGACACAGCGGCAGCAGCGGGAGAAUGAGUCCACCGAGCUUUAAAACCACAGCAGCAUAUGACAGUGAGGCAGAAGAGUUCAUACGUCUGCUGGAUAAAGCUCACAUCAUUUGAAUGUCAAAUGGGACCAGUGUGUGUGUGUGUGUGUGUGUGUGUGAGAGAGAGAGAGAGAGAGAGAGAGAGAGAGAGAGGCAGGAGAGCGAGGAGCUGCUGGAGACACAAUGCAAAUACCACACACACACUCGACCCCACCCCCCUCUCACCUCACCAUCACCACCCCUUCCCUGUUUGUGACUGCACGUCCGUCACCGUCGUCCUCGGCCGCUUAACAGCAAGCAUUUCUCAGCAAACAGCCUGAGGGGCAUCCUGGUGCAUCAACCAACUGCCACAGUAUCACACACACACACACACACACUCUAGAAACUAGACUAAACUAAAAUGCUGCUUGUUUAGCUUUAAUCUUUCUGUAAUCUGGACAUUAUCACGCCUUCAUUCAUUGUAUAUAAUGUCCAGAACUUUUUCUUGUACAUAUAUGCACACAGACUAUUGUCCUAUUUUUUCUGUUCUUAACUGUUUUUUGCUGCCAUAAAAAGUGGAUUUGAUAAACACACUGCAAUAAAAUAGAGCAUGUACUAGUGUAAUUGACUUGAAUUCAGUGUAUUUAUCUAAUCACACCAUUUAUUUGGACUUAUUUACUUAUUAAUUCUUAUUCAUGAGAUAAUUUGACUUGUUUCAAGGUAUUUGUUUUGUGCCAUUUUCUUGCUUGAAACGAGUCAUUUUCCCCUAAUAGUGGUGAUAUUUUUCAGUGAGUUUAUCUUAUCUUAUAUGUGGACACAUAAACACAAAGUUUAAAAGGAGCUUCUGUCACAACCUGGUGUGAAAUACACCAAGAUCAAUGAGGAGUGACUUAAAAACGUUGAUUAAAAAAUGUAUAUUUCCUAAUUUGAUGUUUUUUUCCACCUUUUUAAACGUCAUUCAUGACAUACAAAUAAGUUUUUACAGCUUUUUUCAACAGAUCAAACAAAGACCAACACAUGAAUCUUUUACUCUAACUACAUUGUCUGUGCAAUGUUACCUUGUUGCCUGUGAGUUAGAACAAACCUAAAUGUAACAUAAACUGUUGUGUUUGUUAACAUCAGCUGUCUGAUGUGUGUGAGCUCCACAUGAUUUCACUGAGCCGUGUUUCUGUUGCAGUCGCUGCCAAUAAAAAGGAAUUGUGCUCUACUUCAAAUAAACAAACAAACAAACAAACAAACAAAACAGCUGUGACAGGAUAAACAACACUCGUCCUGCCGCGUUCAAAGAUGAGAAAUGAUCCUUACCUGCCUGCUCGGCUGCAGCCUCCGACUGUUCCACUGAGUCUGCGCUCAUCUUAAUAUCUGUAAUGAUAAAUACAGAUGAUUUUCCUACAGCAGAGCAACUUUUACCGGGACAAUGAAGCACUCAGGAACACUCAGGAAAAUGAUCUUGAGUGUAUUCUAAUGCGCCCUCCCCUCCACACUACCACACGCAACACUCUGUGUCAUCCCUGCUUAUAAUAUUCAUCAGCAGGGCAGAUAUUCCUAUGUCAUUAAACAGUGAUGCUGAGUUUACUCACCUCAGGU